GUUAGAGUUGUGUGGUCUAAAUUAGUCCCACAUCGCUUAUUUUAUUUCUGUUAUGUCUCAUUAAGUGCUAUAUAUAUAGACAUCUUGUAAACUUCUAAAUACCAAGUAAUAAAGCUCUUCUCUAGUGCAACCGUGGACUAGGCACACACACUGUGUGCUGAACCACGUUAUAUCUUUGUGUCCUUUUUCUCUUUUUUCUCUUCUUCUCAUUUCUUCUACUAUUAUUAUUGCUCGAUACUAAC
rnacentral:lncRNA from 1 species